UUCCAUGAUGAGCACCUUUCAAAGCAUAGUUCACCUGACGGUCUUCGGACCAUUGAACGACAAACCAAAACCAUCUUUCGCCUUAUUAUCUGACA
rnacentral:snoRNA from 1 species